rnacentral:rRNA from 1 species
CCUACGGGAGACAGCAGUGAGGAAUAUUGGUCAAUGGACGAGAGUCUGAACCAGCCAAGUAGCGUGAAGGAUGACUGCCCUAUGGGUUGUAAACUUCUUUUAUAUGGGAAUAAAAUGUUCCACGUGUGGGUUUUUGUAUGUACCAUAUGAAUAAGGAUCGGCUAACUCCGUGCCAGCAGCCGCGGUAAUACGGAGGAUCCGAGCGUUAUCCGGAUUUAUUGGGUUUAAAGGGAGCGUAGGUGGAUUGUUAAGUCAGUUGUGAAAGUUUGCGGCUCAACCGUAAAAUUGCAGUUGAAACUGGCAGUCUUGAGUACAGUAGAGGUGGGCGGAAUGCGUGGUGUAGCGGUGAAAUGCUUAGAUAUCACGAAGAACUCCGAUUGCGAAGGCAGCUCACUGGCCUGCAACUGACACUGAGGCUCGAAAGUGUGGGUAUCAAACAGGAUUAGAUACCCCUGUAGUC